AGGUUUAAUUUGACUCUGAAAUGAUCUUCUAAAGUGGCCCAUAUUUUUUGCAGAUCUUUUUAUCCUUUGCCUCAUUCUGAUUAUGUUAAAUCUGUGCAGACCUUUAUUAGCAAUUUCAAAACAAAUCUAAAGGCUUGUUUCUCUGCAUCAGCAGGGGAGCGAGCUCAUAAAAUUACUUCAUUUUCGGGAGGAGAGUGAGAGCGAGACAGAGAGAGCACCAGGAGGCUGCCGGGAAGGUAAGGUUUUGUUUCUCCCACUUUAGAAAGCUUACCUCGAGCUGGAACCGUCUUCAUUUUAGGGAGAAGAACGAGAGCAAGACAGAGAGAGCACCAGGAGGCUGCCGGGAAGAAAGCUUACCUCGAACGGGAGUGGUCUUCAUUUUCGGGAGAAGAACGAGAGCAAGACAGAGAGAGCACCAGGAGGCUGCCGGGAAGCUAAGGUUUUGUUUUUCCCACUUUAUAAAGCUUACCUCGAGCGGGAGCCGUCUUCAUUUUCGGGAGAAGAACGAGAGCAAGACAGAGAGAGCACCAGGAAGCUGCCGGGAAGGAGGAAAGUGCACAGUGCGGAUCACCAGUGGAAACUGAGCGCACGGAAUAAUUUUCAUGUGGGAACAAAGCCUGAAGCCUCAUUAAAAUUGGGCCGCUGGCCUCAUUUAACUUAGACCGUAAAGAAGGCAACUGACAUUUGAAAAUACAAGGUGCAGAGCUGGAUGAACACAGCAGGCCAAGCAGUAUCAGAGGAGCAGGAAGGCUGACAUUUCGGGCCUCGACCCUUCUUCAGAAAACUGACAUUUGAAGUAAUUUGUAAAAGAAAGACUUGCAUUUAUAUCGCAUUUUUUUAUGGCAACCAGAUGCCUCGAAGCACAUUUUGAAAUGUGGUUAACAUAACAGAUCCUGUGCACUCUGCAAACUCUCUCAAACGACACUAAUAAUAACCAGACAAUCUGCUUUUUGUGCUUUUGUUUAAGGAAGAAAUAUUGUUUAGGACAACAAGAUGAACUCCUGCUCUUCUUUAAAGUAUUGCCAUGGGAUCUUUUACAUCUAUUUGAAUAUGAGAAUGCCUUAGUUUGGGGCCCUUUCAUUCUUGAGCAGUUUGGAUGAUGCAAUGCUCCCUGCAUCAGAGAAUCUUGGUUUUGAUUUUUGUGCUCAUGAUCUGAAACAAGGCUUAAAGCUGGAGAGUGAGAGUGUGACCCCAGAAAAUCAAAUAUCUUCCUUCUAACGCACAAAAAAUUAAAAUAUUUUAAAAAUGUAACCUGUGAAUUUAUCAAUGAUUAUGUGUUCAUGUUUAAUAAUAAGCAAAUGAAAUAAUCAGCAAAAAUUCACUACAAAACAAUUCAUUUGGGUUUUUAUCAACAAUCACUGUGAACUACAGAUCAACAAACCACAGCCGUACAUCUAUUUAAGCUCCCACUACUGACAACCCAUAUGUCCCCGAAUAUAUUCUGAAAUUUUUAAAGCACUGAAAUAGAGCUUGACAAUGUCAGUGCAUUAUUUUUAAAUCUCUUUGACUGCUCAAUUGUGUGCUUAUUCAUGGAGAAUGUCUUUCCAAGGUGAUCUUACUAUUAUGAUUUCAGACCUUUUUCAGGAUGAUUGGACAAAGAUCACACUAUCUUAUAGCUGAAGUAUCUAGUCAUUCUAGGCAAAUUGGCAAUUCAUGCAGAGCCUUCUUUUUAAUACUGCUUUAGCUAUUUAUUUUAAACUGCAUCGCACAUAGAUUUGUAGUGAAUUCAUAAAGGCACAAACAGAAUUUUGUUUAAAAGUGUCACCACUUAAUAUACAAUGCUAAAAGGGGUCUUGAUUUGUACUGAUC